rnacentral:precursor_RNA from 14 species
AGCCAGCCUAUUCUACUCGGCCUCGCCGACCAUGACACACUGGCUGGUCUGGAAUGAUUUCGGCUCCUCCGGUCCGCCCGAGUGCCACGAAACGGCGAGAGCCUUGGCAUUCAGUUCUAUU